GGUCAAGGAAGUUGCCAGCAAGGGACCUGAAUCGCAGAAGAAUAUUGCGAUAAGAGCUGAUGAAAAGAGCUACAGUUACCUGCAGUUGAUUUCAUCUGCAAGGAGAAUUUCAAGUUUGUUAAGCAAGCUAGAUCUUAAAACCGACAAAGGCAUCAAAGAAAAUGAACAUCACAAAGGAGCAAGAGUAGGGAUUGUGUCCAAACCUUCUGCUGAGUUCGUUGCUGGAAUACUAGGGACCUGGCUUAGUGGAGGUUGUGCAGUUCCUCUUGCUCUGAGCUAUCCUGAGAGUGAACUGCUACAUGUGAUGAAUGACUCGGACAUCUCCAUAAUUUUGAGUACUGAAGACCACCAAGAACUUAUGAAUGCAAUUGCAGCAAAAACUGGUGCUCAGUUGUCUCUCAUUCCUUCAAUUCCUGAUGUUCAUUCAUCAACAAAACAUGACCAAUCAAAAGACAUGGUUUCUGACGGUCAACAAGAUCUGCUAGAGAUCAAUUCUUAUGGCGAGAACCCUGCUUUUAUCUUGUACACCAGCGGCACAACAGGGAAACCAAAAGGAGUUGUGCACACACACAAUGGAGUCUUAGCACAGGUCCAAAUGUUAGCUAAUGCAUGGGAAUACACGCCCAAGGAUCAAUUUCUGCAUUGUCUACCACUCCAUCAUAUCCACAUUCCUUUAUUUUUGUUCCCAAUCAUGUUGUUUACAUAAUUCCUGCUUUUGCAAUGUGUUUUUGUGUGGGAUAAACAAUCUCAUUUGGACUACAAAACUGGCUGAUCCUUAACCUGUACUGUACAUGUGCAUGGACUUUUCAAUGCUUUGCUUGCCCCUCUUUAUGCAGGUUCCACGGUCGACUUCGUGCCAAAAUUCAGUGUGAGGGGAAUUUGGCAGAGAUGGCGUGAAUCAUAUCCUACAGAUGGUACUAUAACAGAUAAUGCCAUUACGGUGUUUACUGGAGUUCCAACUAUGUAUGCACGAUUGAUACAA
rnacentral:misc_RNA from 1 species